CCCAUAGUAUAUAGACUUCUCCUGAAGUUUAUAUUAAACAUUUAUGGCUAUUAGAUGGGUAUGCGUCCUAUUAGUUAGUUGGUAAGGUAACGGCUUACCAAGGCAGCGAUAGGUAGGGGUCCUGAGAGGGAGAUCCCCACACUGGUACUGAGACACGGACCAGACUCCUACGGGAGGCAGCAGUGAGGAAUAUUGGACAAUGGGCGAGAGCCUGAUCCAGCCAUGCCGCGUGCAGGAAGACUGCCCUAUGGGUUGUAAACUGCUUUUACAGAGGAAGAACCACCCCCACGUGUGGGGGUUUGACGGUACUCUGCGAAUAAGGAUCGGCUAACUCCGUG
rnacentral:rRNA from 1 species